rnacentral:rRNA from 1 species
UACGGGGGGAGCAAGCGUUGUUCGGAUUUACUGGGCGUAAAGGGCGCAGUAGGCGGUCAGCACAAGUCAGUUGUGAAAUCUCCGGGCUUAACUCGGAAAGGUCAACUGAUACUGUGCGACUAGAGUGCGGAAGGGGCAACUGGAAUUCUCGGUGUAGCGGUGAAAUGCGUAGAUAUCGAGAGGAACACCUGCGGCGAAGGCGGGUUGCUGGGCCGACACUGACGCUGAUGCGCGAAAGCCAGGGGAGCGAACGGG